UACGAAGGGGGCUAGCGUUGCUCGGAAUCACUGGGCGUAAAGGGUGCGUAGGCGGGUCUUUAAGUCAGGGGUGAAAUCCUGGAGCUCAACUCCAGAACUGCCUUUGAUACUGAAGAUCUUGAGUUCGGGAGAGGUGAGUGGAACUGCGAGUGUAGAGGUGGAAUUCGUAGAUAUUCGCAAGAACACCAGUGGCGAAGGCGGCUCACUGGCCCGAUACUGACGCUGAGGCACGAAAGCGUGGGGGAGCGAACAGG
rnacentral:rRNA from 1 species